rnacentral:rRNA from 1 species
UACGUAGGGGGCAAGCGUUGUCCGGAUUUAUUGGGCGUAAAGAGCGUGUAGGCGGCUUUACAGGUCCGUUGUGAAAACUCGAGGCUCAACCUCGAGACGCCGGUGGAAACCGUAAAGCUAGAGUCCGGAAGAGGAGAGUGGAAUUCCUGGUGUAGCGGUGAAAUGCGCAGAUAUCAGGAGGAACACCAAUAGCGAAGGCAGCUCGCUGGGACGGUAUUGACGCUGAGGCGCGAAAGCGUGGGGAGCAAACAGG